GCUCGUAGUUGAAUUUCGGGUCUAGCAAGUUGGUCCGCUUAACGGCGGUUCUGGCAUUGUUAGACCUUACCUUCUGGGGAACCAAGGUGCUCUUCACUGAGUGCUUUGGGGAACCAGGACCUUUACUUUGAAAAAAUUAGAGUGUUUAAAGCAGGCUUACGCUUGAAUACAUUAGCAUGGAAUAAUAGAAUAGGACUUUGGUUCUAUUUUGUUGGUUUCUAGGACCAGAGUAAUGAUUAAUAGGGAUAGUUGGGGGCAUUAGUAUUGAGCAGUCAGAGGUGAAAUUCUUGGAUUUGCUCAAGGCUAACAACUGCGAAAGCAUUUGCCAAGGAUGUUUUCAUUAAUCAAGAACGAAAGUUAGGGGAUCGAAGACGAUUAGAUACCGUCGUAGUCUUAACCAUAAACGAUGCCGACUAGGGAUCGGUGGGAUACGUUUCGUACUCAUCGGCACCUUAUGAGAAAUCAAAGUGUUUGGGUUCCGGGGGGAGUAUGGUCGCAAGGCUGAAACUUAAAGGAAUUGACGGAAGGGCACCACCAGGAGUGGAGCCUGCGGCUUAAUUUGACUCAACACGGGGAAACUCACCAGGUCCAGACAUAGUAAGGAUUGACAGAUUGAGAGCUCUUUCUUGAUUCUAUGGGUGGUGGUGCAUGGCCGUUCUUAGUUGGUGAGGUGAUUUGUCUGGUUAAUUCCGAUAACGAACGAGACCUUAACCUGCUAACUAGUCACACUAACUUUGGUUAGUGGCGACUUCUUAGAGGGACUGUC
rnacentral:rRNA from 1 species